CCUACGGGUGGCAGCAGUGGGGAAUAUUGGGCAAUGGGCGCAAGCCUGACCCAGCAACGCCGCGUGAAGGAAGAAGGCUUUCGGGUUGUAAACUUCUUUUCUCAGGGACGAAGCAAGUGACGGUACCUGAGGAAUAAGCCACGGCUAACUACGUGCCAGCAGCCGCCGUAAUCCGUGGGUGGGAAGCGUUAUCCGGAUUUACUGGGUGUAAAGGGCGUGUAGGCGGGGACGCAAGUCAUAUGUGAAAACCACGGGCUCAACCUGUGGCCUGCCUUUGAAACUGUGUUUCUUGAGUACUGGAGAGGCAGGCGGAAUGCGUGGUGUAGCGGUGAAAUGCGUAGAUAUUAGGAGGAACACCAGUGGCGAAGGCGGCAUGCUGGACAGCAACUGACGCUGAGGCGCGAAAGCGUGGGGAGCAAACAGGAUUAGAUACCCGGGUAGUC
rnacentral:rRNA from 1 species